rnacentral:lncRNA from 1 species
ACAAGGGAGUAGAUUCAAAACCUUUAAAAAUGUAAUAAACACUAAUCCCAGCAUACAAUCCCCAAUCUUGAACAACCAAAAUAGAAGAUUUGAAAUUUGGGUUCUCACAACCUGAGCAACCAUCAAUGCAAGAUCCCCACCCCAAUCUUCCAAAGGUCUCCAAAUUAUAUGACUUGUGGGGGAGACAAAGAACAAAUAAUCUGAAGAAAUUAAUUAUAGUAAAGACAUUAGAGAAACCAUGAAAAAGCUGAAUCUUUGAAGGGAAACAAAAAGGAAUUUCAAAGCAAAGAAGGGGAGAAAGAGGCUCAGAUUCACCACUUAAUCCAGCAUUGAGUUAGCAUUCAAGUCUCUGAAACUACAAGCCUAAGCGGCUGCAUAAGUUGCCUGUAGAAUGGUAGCAGCAGAACUGCCAAGAUUGCCUUAGCCAUUUCUACUUCGCAAUGCAGCAAGACCCUUGCCUAGGAAUCAUCACAGCCCUCUUCAUAUAAAACUAAAACAGGUGCCGCUUGCCCAAUCUGGGGAACAAAAAAUGAAGAAGAAAAGAAAAGAAAGAAAGAGAAAAAGAUGCUAAGGAGGAAGAAGAAGACCUAAGGCUCAGCGAUGCGAUGGAAUUCUUGAAUGGAUGAGACCGAAAGAUCCCCCACUUUGUCUCCUCGAGUGACCUCUCCAUCCAACAAUGGUUGUACACUGGUUGUCUGCAGAACAGCAAGCCUUCCAAAGUUGCCUCGCCCAUGCCCAUCGGUCAAGAAGGAACACAGAGAGGAGAGAUGAGAUGGGGGUCAAUUUCAAGAACAGCUUUAAGCUGCAGAAAGGCUAUGUCUGGUUCAAGAAUUAAGAUGACAAGUGAUAGGAAUAAGACAAAGAUAAGGUAAAAGAAGAAGAUGAGAGAAGCAGCAUUACGGUAACAAAAAAAACCUUCCUAGAUGCCAAAAGCCUCAUAUUAAAAACAACCAAAUGCUUUGAAGGCACCUUUGUUUCCACACAUAACAAUACUAUCAGGCAUACAAUCCCUAAUCUUGAACAACCAAAAUAGAAGAUUUGAAAAUUUAGGUUCUCAAUUUCCGAGCAACCAUCAAUGCAAGAUCCCCACCCCAAUCUUCCAAAGGUCUCC